CCGACGCCGCUCAAGAACUACAAAGGAUUGACGGGGCCCGCACAAGCGGUGGAGCAUGUGGUUUAAUUCGAUGAUACGCGAGGAACCUUACCUGGGCUCAAAUGUAUGUUGACGUAUUCUGAAAGGGAUACUUCUUCGGACAAUAUACAAGGUGCUGCAUGGUUGUCGUCAGCUCGUGCCGCGAGGUGUCGGGUUAAGUCCCAUAACGAGCGCAACCCCUAUCAUUAGUUGCCAUCAGGUCAAGCUGGGGACUCUAAUGAAACUGCCUACGCAAGUAGUGAGGAAGGUGGGGAUGACGUCAAGUCCUCAUGGCCUUUAUGACCAGGGCUACACACGUACUACAAUGGCCGAUACAAAGGGCAGCGACACUGCGAGGUGAAGCCAAUCCCGUAAAAUCGGUCUCAGUCCGGAUUGGAGUCUGCAACUCGACUCCAUGAAGUUGGAAUCGCUAGUAAUCGUGGAUCAGCAUGCCACGGUGAAUACGUUCCCGGGCCUU
rnacentral:rRNA from 1 species